GAUGAAGAACGCAGUGAAAUGCGAUAAGUAGUGUGAAUUGCAGAAUUCAGUGAAUCAUCGAAUCUUUGAACGCACAUUGCGCCCCUUGGUAUUCCAUGGGGCAUGCCUGUUCGAGCGUCAUUUGUACCUUCAAGCUCUGCUUGGUGUUGGGUGUUUGUCUCGCCUCUGCGCGCAGACUCGCCUCAAAACAAUUGGCAGCCGGCGUAUUGAUUUCGGAGCGCAGUACAUCUCGCGCUUUGCACUCAUAACGACGACGUCCAUAAAGUACAUUUUUUACACUCUUGACCUCGGAUCAGGUAGGGAUACCCGCUGAACUUAAGCAUAUCAAUAAGCGGAGGA
rnacentral:misc_RNA from 1 species